UAACGCGUAGGGACCUGCCGCUGAGUGGGGGAUAACGCCGGGAAACUGGCGCUAAUACCGCAUGUGGUCAUCGCCUUUCGAGGGGAUGAAGAAAGCAGCAAUGCGCUCGGUGAGGGACCUGCGUCCGAUUAGCUCGUUGGUGGGGUAACGGCCUACCAAGGCGACGAUCGGUAGCUGGUCUGAGAGGAUGGUCAGCCACACUGGGACUGAGACACGGCCCAG
rnacentral:rRNA from 1 species